rnacentral:rRNA from 1 species
GACGAACGCUGGCGGCGCGCCUAACACAUGCAAGUCGAACGAGCGAGAGAGAGCUUGCUUUCUCGAGCGAGUGGCGAACGGGUGAGUAACGCGUGAGGAACCUGCCUCAAAGAGGGGGACAACAGUUGGAAACGACUGCUAAUGCCGCAUAAGCCCACAGCUCGGCAUCGAGCAGAGGGAAAAGGAGCAAUCCGCUUUGAGAUGGCCUCGCGUCCGAUUAGCUAGUUGGUGAGGUAACGGCCCACCAAGGCGACGAUCGGUAGCCGGACUGAGAGGUUGAACGGCCACAUUGGGACUGAGACACGGCCCAGACUCCUACGGGAGGCAGCAGUGGGGAAUAUUGCACAAUGGGGGAAACCCUGAUGCAGCGACGCCGCGUGGAGGAAGAAGGUCUUCGGAUUGUAAACUCCUGUUGUUGAGGAAGAUAAUGACGGUACUCAACAAGGAAGUGACGGCUAACUACGUGCCAGCAGCCGCGGUAAAACGUAGGUCACAAGCGUUGUCCGGAAUUACUGGGUGUAAAGGGAGCGCAGGCGGGAAGACAAGUUGGAAGUGAAAUCCAUGGGCUCAACCCAUGAACUGCUUUCAAAACUGUUUUUCUUGAGUAGUGCAGAGGUAGGCGGAAUUCCCGGUGUAGCGGUGGAAUGCGUAGAUAUCGGGAGGAACACCAGUGGCGAAGGCGGCCUACUGGGCACCAACUGACGCUGAGGCUCGAAAGUGUGGGUAGCAAACAGGAUUAGAUACCCUGGUAGUCCACACUGUAAACGAUGAUUACUAGGUGUUGGAGGAUUGACCCCUUCAGUGCCGCAGUUAACACAAUAAGUAAUCCACCUGGGGAGUACGACCGCAAGGUUGAAACUCAAAGGAAUUGACGGGGGCCCGCACAAGCAGUGGAGUAUGUGGUUUAAUUCGACGCAACGCGAAGAACCUUACCAAGUCUUGACAUCCCUUGACGAUGCUGGAAACAGUAUUUCUCUUCGGAGCAAGGAGACAGGUGGUGCAUGGUUGUCGUCAGCUCGUGUCGUGAGAUGUUGGGUUAAGUCCCGCAACGAGCGCAACCCUUAUGGUCAGUUACUACGCAAGAGGACUCUGGCCAGACUGCCGUUGACAAAACGGAGGAAGGUGGGGAUGACGUCAAAUCAUCAUGCCCUUUAUGACUUGGGCUACACACGUACUACAAUGGCGUUAAACAAAGAGAAGCAAGACCGCGAGGUGGAGCAAAACUCAGAAACAACGUCCCAGUUCGGACUGCAGGCUGCAACUCGCCUGCACGAAGUCGGAAUUGCUAGUAAUCGCAGAUCAGCAUGCUGCGGUGAAUACGUUCCCGGGCCUU